AAUCCCUUAACGAGGAUCAAUUGGAGGGCAAUGUCUGGUGCCAGCAGCCGCGGUAAUUCCAGCUCCAAUAGCGUAUAUUAAAGUUGUUGCAGUUAAAAAG